UACGUAGGGACCAAGCGUUGUUCGGAUUUACUGGGCGUAAAGGGCGCGUAGGCGGCGUAUUAAGUCAGCUGUGAAAACCCGCAGCUUAACUGUGGGCUUGCAGCUGAUACGGGCGGGCUAGAGUUCGGUAGGGGAGACUGGAAUUCCCGGUGUAGCGGUGAAAUGCGUAGAGCUCGGGAAGAACAUCGGUGGCGAAAGCGCUCUGCUGGACUGCAACUGACACUCAGGGACGAAAGCUAGGGGAGCGAAUGGG
rnacentral:rRNA from 1 species